GCCGGGGAGGUAGCGGCGCCCUGUACCUGCAAUCCGCUAUAGCAGGGGUGAUGGUCGGCCUAGGGUUUAUUUUGUAGGGCUGCCCUUUAUAAGUGAUGUUGACGUCUGGGUCUUAUGCAUCAGAGACCUGCGAACCGUGUCAGGACAGGAAUGUAGCAGCACUAAGCAGUGCUCUUCUGAGUGACAUGAGGGUGCCUGGACCGAGUUAACUGUAGAGGUAACGCUUAUGAG
rnacentral:SRP_RNA from 1 species